ACAGGAGAAGAGCAUGCCUAUACAGGCAAACGGAAAUUACUACAGAUUCAGACAACAAACAAGAAGAACUGUCCCGCAAAACCUUUUGUUCGCAACAUAACAAGGAAUCAGGAAGGUCAGACUGUUUUCAUCAACAAUGAGAGCUGUGAGGUGAACGUGACCCUGAGUGGCAGAGAAGCAUCACUGCUGUUCUGGGACCAGUGCAUAUGAACUAGGAGACAACAAGCUAUCUGAGUGAAGUGCUGGGAACCUCUCUUCACAUAGCCAGCGCAUGCCUGUUCUACAUGGCGUAAAGUCCUACACUGGCCAGAAGACCUUUCCAUCCACUCUUUUCCUCUGUUUCAUCUUCUCACAGACUUUACAACACUUAACGAUUGUUUAAAACAAAAGGACUGUCUGCUGUGUUCAUGAAGGACACAGAGCUGAACAACACCAUGAUAAGAACUUGUGGCUCAGACAGGCUGGAGCUGAUCACGUCACUGGAACUGGACAACAAGCUGUUAACUGGACUCUGCUGAUGUAAUCAUACUGAUAGAUUCUAUCCAAUUGCAUUGAAUUCUCUUGAUUCACAUGUCAUUGGCAUAAAAGUAUAGCUGCUUGAAUGAA